ensembl:lncRNA
CACAAUUUGUCCGCUUCAUGAUUUAAGCCAUUAAAUCAGGGAAUGAAGCUUCUUGGUCCACUGGAUGGUAUUUGUUUCAGUUCGUGUGUUACUUUUAUUUUAGAGAACGGAUAUCCAAUCGCUAGAAUGACAACAAAAUAACCACCCAUGUCCAUACGGUGGUGUUAAACUACUGUUUUGUGUGUGUGUGUGUGUGUGUGUGUGUGUGUGUGUCUGUCUCACUCAGGGCUCUGGGUAAUGUCUACUAGUGCUGAGGUAUUUCACUAAUCUUUCUUUUUCCCCUCACACUGUGUGAGGGUCAUUUGUGUCAUACAGCUCCAGUCACUUGAAUAAACCUUCAUAAUGUGCCCAUUCCCAAGUCAAGGAUCCCAUAAAUUAACACAUAAUUACAGUAGCUAUUUUUCAUAACUGUGGUUUAAAUCAUGAUGAUAUUCAAAGGAACCCUAUUGCCUUUCUUAGAGCAUUAAGAAUAAAUGAGAUAAUCAAGUCAUGUUUCUUGAAAUUUAUGAUGUGCCAGACAGGUGACUGCUCAGGGGAAUUUACCGCUGCUCUUGAUCAAAACGUACCUUCAAGAAAGCAGCUUUUCAGGACUCAAGACAAAAACUGCCUUAUUUAAAGGUAGCUCAUAACUUUUUCUUUUUUUAAAAAAUAAAAUCAAACAUAUGUAAUGGCUUUUGAACAACACCCUGGGAAACCAAACCUUCCCUACUUGUUGUCUGGAGUUGUAAGGUUUUCUCAGUUGCAGCAGUGUAUUAUACAUGUCUGAUAUAUUACAGGAGUUAAAACAAAUUGCACUUUUACCUUUGUGAAUUUCAUUAAUUUGUAUGUUCUGUUUCUUUAAAAUGGCCUCUUGAAUAAAGAUUGUAAGAGUUUGGUGAUCUAUGGGGUGGGGGGGCUACAAAGGGUUCAGUGUACAGCUAUGUCCUUGUCACAUGGAAUAAAGUACAAUUUAGAUGAAAAAUAAUAAAGAAUUUUCAACCUGAAUUCUGAAUGUAAUGACUGUUGUUUUUUGUUGUCGUUUUUUUUUUUAUUUUGGAUUAGACACUGAGGGCAUUUCAGGAUUCUGUAAGGCUUUUAAAUGCUAAACUAAGCUUUGCAUGUUG